AACGAACGCUGGCGGCAGGCCUAACACAUGCAAGUCGAACGCCCCGCAAGGGGAGUGGCAGACGGGUGAGUAACACGUGGGAACCUUCCCUAUAGUACGGAAUAGCCCAGGGAAACUUGGAGUAAUACCGUAUACGCCCGGAAGGGGAAAGAAUUUCGCUAUAGGAUGGGCCCGCGUAGGAUUAGCUAGUUGGUGAGGUAAUGGCUCACCAAGGCGACGAUCCUUAGCUGGUUUGAGAGAACGACCAGCCACACUGGGACUGAGACACGGCCCAGACUCCUACGGGAGGCAGCAGUGGGGAAUAUUGGACAAUGGGCGCAAGCCUGAUCCAGCCAUGCCGCGUGAGUGAUGAAGGCCUUAGGGUUGUAAAGCUCUUUUGGCGGGGACGAUAAUGACGGUACCCGCAGAAUAAGUCCCGGCUAACUUCGUG
rnacentral:rRNA from 1 species